AAUGGAAGACUACUGCCACCAAAAAAAAUGGCAUCUGGCCAUUGGCACCAAUGUGCAUGGAGCUAGACUGUAUAAUGCUAUGUGAAAAAGGUCAGAGA